rnacentral:lncRNA from 1 species
CGCGCGGGGGCGCUCUUGCUCCCAAGGCCGCACGAGCGCCAAGGCCUCGCGGGGAGAAUAGCCACGGGGGGAGACGGGGCCCGCGCUGCCCCCACGAACGCUGUUGGUGGGGACCCCACGGCCGCACCUCCUCCUCCAUCCGGAGACCAGGCCCCUGCCCCGCCCGCGGCUGAGGAGAUAAGGAGAGGCUGAUUUGAAAAGCUGCGAGGACGCGCAUUUUAACCUCCAGGGACGGCUUGAGCCCCGCCCUGCCUUUCGAAAGUGCUGGGAACGGAUUUUAUCAGCAGGCGAAACUGUCCUCAAAGCUCCGUGGCCCAGCAAAAGGCAGGGCGGGGACGCCCAUGGCCCCCGGGCCGGCCCCCUACGGGCUCAGCCUCCGAGUCCCCGGACUGGACGGCGCGGGCGUCGGGGGUCCAGGCUGCUCCGGCCGCCCCGCUGUGAGCCCGAGCUGCGCUGCAGCCGCUGGUCACGUAUGGGGGUCCCCCGCGUCCUUUCCUCCAGGCCGGCAGUGGGCUGGGGCCGCAAGUGUCCCCGCGUACACUGGCCGUCCCCCAGGGACAAGGACAGUUGCCCUGAAAAGCUGCGGCUCCCGCCAGAAGGUCCCAGCUCGGGCUGCCCCGGGCAGACGCAGAGCGAAAGGCGAGGCAGGACGGGCCUGAGGAACCUGGAAGUCCCUGCAGGGCCCCUGGAAGAGGCAGGCAGGGGGCUGCCCCACAGACGGGCCCAGGAGAGGACACGCCGGGCUGGCAUCACGUGAGGAGAGCGUCCAGCAAACCACACUGGUCCCGAGGCCUCCACGAAAAGUAGAUGGGCAUCUCGCGGCAGCCACCACUGAGGCAGCACCGGGAAAGCAUGGUGGGUGCCCACUGGCCCCGCAGAGGGCAAAGGCAUGCACACGCCAGAAGGGAACGUCAAGGGGAGCAAAGAGAACCCCUUCCUCCUGGAAUGGCUGAGGGGACCAGGCCGCUCUGUGAUGCAGACAUCUCAAGGGGCUCUCCCUUGCACUACCCCAUGUGGACUUUAACUCCCAAUUUGGAAAGUAAUGAUGUCAUCUUCUGUGGUCUCAGGGUCCUAGUGAGUGUGUGAGGAUAAUAGUGUUACAUGUUAUGCAAAGGGAUUGUGAACUGGCAUGGGGGUCAGGUUUGCAGGGCCUGGAGCUGGUGACUCCAGCUCUAGAACAACCCCAGGCCGGCUCUGCCCUACCCAGGAGAGAUGGUCAUAGGGGAAAGAGUCCAGUGGGCAUUGGAGGCGUAGGGGCCACUUAGGGUUGCCCUUUGAGCUGACAGUGGGGUACAGAUUCAGCUCUGCAGUGCCCCUAACCCCCACUGCGGAUCCACCCGGGGGAAUGCCCUGAGGACACGCGAGGUGAGGGUCAGGCGUGUCCUGCUGGGUGGGAACUCCGGACCCUCUGGGAAGGAAUGGGUGAAUCGGCUGCUCUCACUCUCCAGCUCCCACUCAGAGGAGCCCUGGGGGAUCCCAUUCCUCUACCUCAGAGGACUCCCAGGACACUGUCUGAGCCCAGUGGGAGGAGGACACACAGCCCUGAUCUGCCAGUCAGUGGGGCUGAGGGUCAAGCUGUGCGCCUUGUGUGCUGGCGGCGUCCCGCCUGGGAUGGAUGGAGAUGGUCUGUACUUUCAUGGGUGAAUUGUAGGGCCCCUGAAUUGUAUGUAUCUCAAUAAAGCUGCUAAAGAAUAAAUGU